rnacentral:rRNA from 1 species
GCGCUACACUGAUGCGUUCAACGAGUUUACAACCUUGAUCGAUAGGUCUGGGUAAUCUUCUGAAUGCGCAUCGUGCUAGGGAUAGAUUGUUGCAAUUUUCAAUCUUGAACGAGGAAUUCCUAGUAAACGCAAGUCAUCAGCUUGCAUUGAUUACGUCCCUGCCCUUUGUACACACCGCCCGUCGCACCUACCGAUUGAAUGACUCGGUGAAAAAUUGGGACCGUGAAUCUGUUUGCUUUAUUGCGAAUCGAUCCGUGGGAACUUUUUUUAACCUCGCCAUUUAGAGGAAGGUGAAGUCGUAACAAGGUUUCCGUAGGUGAACCUGCGGAAGGAUCAUUACCACACCAAAAAAACUUUCCACGUGAACCGUUGUCUGUAUGGUUUUGUACUGCUGCUCGCUCUCGGGCUUGAGUGGCGGUUAAACAAUGCUUACGUUGAUUGAUUCGCUUCGGCUGAGUCUCCGUGAGUGCCCUUUUUAAACCCCUUUCCAUACCUCAUUUUCUGAUGUAUACUCCGAGAACGAAAGUUCUUGGUUUGAACUAGAUAACAACUUUCAGCAGUGGAUGUCUAGGCUCGCACAACGAUGAAGAACGCUGCGAACUGCGAUACGUAAUGCGAAUUGCAGGAUUCAGUGAGUCAUCGAGAUUUUGAACGCACAUGGCACUUUCGGGUUAUACCUGGAAGUAUGUCUGUAUCAGUGUCUGUUGUAAAAACUUGCCUUUUUUGUGUGUGUUUUCCUUUUGGAGAGCGCGUGCGAAAGAUGUGCAGAAUGUGAAGUGUCUUGCUUUGCGGCGAGUCCUUUUAAAUGCAGUUUGCUUCUGUGCGGUUGGAAGCGCAUGUUUGCCUCGAAGGAGGUGAUCGUGUUUGACUUGCACGUAAGGUUGACUUCAGCUAGAACGCUGUAGGCAAUGCCCAAUGAGUGGUAUGUUGUGCACUUGUGCUCGACUUGUUACUGGUUGGUGCGUGGUCUGUUUUAGUGGGGGUCCUUUGUGUGUAUGUUGGGUGCGGUUGCUGCUAUUACUUCUGGGCGUGGCGUGUGUUUUGGACUGCGCGUUUUACAACGGAGGCCUAUUUGGGAAACGAGUACCUACCCGGUGCUUUACUUCAAAUUGGACCUGAUAUCAGACAAGAUUACCCGCUGAA